UCUGACAGUGACAGAAGAAGUGAUAAGGCUUUAACACACACCUCUGCUCUGUUAGUCAGUUAGUCAUUAAAGAGACAGGAUUGAACUCAGUCCACUUCCUGUGAUGUUCUUGCUGGUUUCACGUUUACCAGUGGCUCAUGCUCAAGGAGGCGCGGGACAAACGGCAAGAUGGCCGCCGACCCAAGAAGUGCUCACCGCGAUACCGGAAGUGGGUGCAGUGUGCCCGGGAGAUCAUGACACAUACAUGUUUGGACAAAGUAAUAAGUAUUUAAAGGUAAAGCCAGAAUUUCAGAGGACUUCUAAUGUCUGGAUGCAGUGCAUAUUUUUAAGUUGAGUUCUAACUGACUCUGAGCCGACACUCUUAUGAAUCUUUCAAACCAACCAAACUGUGAAUCAGCAUUCCAAACUAGUCAGAUAGUGCAGUGGUUCCCAGCCUCUUUAUCAAGAGACCCCUGUUUUAACAUUGAAACAUAUUUUAUCUACUCCAAUUGUUCUUCAUGCAUUUUAUUUGAUUCCUGAUUGAAUUAACCUGGUAUUUAUUUGUUAUUUUAUUCAUUUAUUUUAUGUGGACUCUGGGUCUAAGUAUUUAGGGUUUGAUAUUGGAUACAGAUUACACACUUUAAAAUCUUCACUUGUCUAUUGCUUCAUUGAAACCAAAUUCAAGAUUACUGUCCAAAUAAGUCCUUGUUUUCUUUUUAGCACAUUUAUUUUUAUCUUCUCCCUGGCCUU